rnacentral:rRNA from 1 species
GUGAGGAAUAUUGGGCAAUGGGCGCAAGCCUGACCCAGCCAUGCCGCGUGCAGGAAGACGGUCCUAUGGAUUGUAAACUGCUUUUAUACGGGAAGAAACACUCCCUCGUGAGGGAGCUUGACGGUACCGUAAGAAUAAGGAUCGGCUAACUCCGUGCCAGCAGCCGCGGUAAUACGGAGGAUCCAAGCGUUAUCCGGAAUCAUUGGGUUUAAAGGGUCCGUAGGCGGCCUUAUAAGUCAGUGGUGAAAUCCCAUCGCUCAACGAUGGAACUGCCAUUGAUACUGUAAGGCUUGAAUAAUUGUGAAGUAACUAGAAUAUGUAGUGUAGCGGUGAAAUGCUUAGAUAUUACAUGGAAUACCAAUUGCGAAGGCAGGUUACUACUUGUGGAUUGACGCUGAUGGACGAAAGCGUGGGGAGCGAACAGGAUUAGAUACCCGAGUAGUCC